AGAAGCUUGCUUCUCUGUAGGGUUAGCGGCGGACGGGUGAGUAACACGUAGGCAACCUGCCUGUAAGACUGGGAUAACUACCGGAAACGGUAGCUAAUACCGGAUAGGUGAUUUUCUCGCAUGAGGGAAUCAAGAAAGACGGAGCAAUCUGUCACUUACGGAUGGGCCUGCGGCGCAUUAGCUAGUUGGUGAGGUAAUGGCUCACCAAGGCGACGAUGCGUAGCCGACCUGAGAGGGUGAACGGCCACACUGGGACUGAGACACGGCCCAGACUCCUACGGGAGGCAGCAGUAGGGAAUCUUCCGCAAUGGACGAAAGUCUGACGGAGCAACGCCGCGUGAGUGAUGAAGGUUUUCGGAUCGUAAAGCUCUGUUGCCAGGGAAGAACGUCUUAGAGAGUAACUGCUCUAAGAGUGACGGUACCUGAGAAGAAAGCCCCGGCUAACUACGUGCCAGCAGCCGCGGUAAUACGUAGGGGGCAAGCGUUGUCCGGAAUUAUUGGGCGUAAAGCGCGCGCAGGCGGCUAUGUAAGUCUGGUGUAUAACCUCA
rnacentral:rRNA from 1 species